GACGAACGCUGGCGGCGUGCUUAACACAUGCAAGUCGAACGGAAAGGCCCUGCUUGCAGGGUACUCGAGUGGCGAACGGGUGAGUAACACGUGGGUGAUCUGCCCUGCACUUCGGGAUGAGCCUGGGAAACUGGGUCUAAUACCGGAUAGGAGCCAUUUUUAGUGUGAUGGUUGGAAAGUUUUUUCGGUGUAGGAUGAGCUCGCGGCCUAUCAGCUUGUUGGUGGGGUAAUGGCCUACCAAGGCGGCGACGGGUAGCCGGCCUGAGAGGGUGGACGGCCACAUUGGGACUGAGAUACGGCCCAGACUCCUACGGGAGGCAGCAGUGGGGAAUAUUGCACAAUGGGCGCAAGCCUGAUGCAGCGACGCCGCGUGGGGGAUGACGGCCUUCGGGUUGUAAACUCCUUUCGCUAGGGACGAAGCUUUUUGUGACGGUACCUAGAUAAGAAGCACCGGCUAACUACGUG
rnacentral:rRNA from 1 species